rnacentral:rRNA from 1 species
UACGUAGGGUGCAAGCGUUAAUCGGAAUUACUGGGCGUAAAGCGUGCGCAGGCGGUGAUGUAAGACAGAUGUGAAAUCCCCGGGCUUAACCUGGGAACUGCGUUUGUGACUGUGUGACUAGAGUACGGCAGAGGGGGGUGGAAUUCCUGGUGUAGCAGUGAAAUGCGUAGAUAUCAGGAGGAACAUCGAUGGCGAAGGCAGCCCCCUGGGCCUGUACUGACGCUCAUGCACGAAAGCGUGGGGAGCAAACAGG